UACAGAGGGUGCAAGCGUUAAUCGGAAUCACUGGGCGUAAAGCGUGCGUAGGUGGCCUUACAAGUCAGGUGUGAAAUCCCCGGGCUCAACCUGGGAACUGCACUUGAUACUGUUUGGCUAGAGUGUGGUAGAGGGUGGCGGAAUUCCGCAUGUAGCGGUGAAAUGCGUAGAUAUGCGGAGGAACACCAGUGGCGAAGGCGGCCACCUAGACCAACACUGACACUGAGGCACGAAAGCGUGGGGAGCAAACAGG
rnacentral:rRNA from 1 species